AGGAAGACGAUCAAAAACA
rnacentral:sRNA from 1 species